AUGAACGCUGGCGGCGUGCCUCAUACAUGCAAGUCGAGCGAACAGACGAGGAGCUUGCUCCUCUGACGUUAGCGGCGGACGGGUGAGUAACACGUGGAUAACCUACCUAUAAGACUGGGAUAACUUCGGGAAACCGGAGCUAAUACCGGAUAACAUGUUGAACCGCAUGGUUCAACAGUGAAAGACGGUCUUGCUGUCACUUAUAGAUGGAUCCGCGCCGCAUUAGCUAGUUGGUAAGGUAACGGCUUACCAAGGCAACGAUGCGUAGCCGACCUGAGAGGGUGAUCGGCCACACUGGAACUGAGACACGGUCCAGACUCCUAAGGGAGGCAGCAGUAGGGAAUCUUCCGCAAUGGGCGAAAGACUGACGGAGCAACGCCGCGUGAGUGAAGAAGGUCUUCGGAUCGUAAAACUCUGUUAUUAGGGAAGAACAAAUGUGUAAGUAACUAUGCACGUCUUGACGGUACCUAAUCAGAAAGCCACGGCUAACUACGUG
rnacentral:rRNA from 1 species